GAUGAACGCUGGCGGCGUGCUUAACACAUGCAAGUCGAACGAUGAAGCCCAGCUUGCUUGGUGGAUUAGUGGCGAACGGGUGAGUAACACGUGAGUAACCUGCCCUUAACUCUGGGAUAAGCCUGGUAAACUGUGUCUAAUACCGGAUAGGAGCGUCCACCGCAUGGUGUGUGUUGGAAAGAUUUAUCGGUUUUGGAUGGACUCGCGGCCUAUCAGCUUGUUGGUGAGGUAAUGGCUCACCAAGGCGACGACGGGUAGCCGGCCUGAGAGGGUGACCGGCCACACUGGGACUGAGAAACGGCCCAGACUCCUACGGGAGGCAGCAGUGGGGAAUAUUGCACAAUGGGCGGAAGCCUGAUGCAGCGACGCCGCGUGAGGGAUGACGGCCUUCGGGUUGUAAACCGCUUUCAGUAGGGAAGAAGCGAAAGUGACGGUACCUGCAGAAGAAGCACCGGCUAACUACGUG
rnacentral:rRNA from 1 species